GCCGAGGUGGCGGAAUGGUAGACGCCCGGGCCUUAAGAGCCCGUGUUGCAAUAGCAACGUGGGGGUUCGAGUCCCCCCCUCGGCA
rnacentral:tRNA from 1 species